CAGCAGCCGCGGUAAUACGAAGGGUGCAAGCGUUAAUCGGAAUUACUGGGCGUAAAGCGCACGCAGGCGGUUUGUUAGGUCAGAUGUGAAAUCCCCGAGCUUAACUUGGGAAUGGCAGUGGAUACUGGCAAGCUAGAGUGCGUCAGAGGAUGGUGGAAUUCCCGGUGUAGCGGUGAAAUGCGUAGAGAUCGGGAGGAACAUCAGUGGCGAAGGCGGCCAUCUGGGACAACACUGACGCUGAGGCACGAAAGCGUGGGGAGCAAACAGGAUUAGAUACCCCUGUAGUCCCUGUCUCUUAUAC
rnacentral:rRNA from 1 species